rnacentral:rRNA from 1 species
UACGAAGGGGGCAAGCGUUGUUCGGAAUUACUGGGCGUAAAGGGCGCGUAGGCGGCUUAUCAAGUCAGGCGUGAAAUUCCCGGGCUCAACCUGGGGGCUGCGCUUGAUACUGAUGAGCUUGAAUGCGGGAGAGGAUAGUGGAAUUCCCGGUGUAGAGGUGAAAUUCGUAGAUAUCGGGAGGAACACCAGUGGCGAAGGCGGCGAUCUGGGAAGAUACUGACGCUGAGGUGCGAAAGCGUGGGGAGCAAACAGG